AACAUUCUUGGCCUGUGAUUCGAUGUGGGCGGGGUGGGGAGGCCUGAGGAGAGCCCUAGCCAGCCUGUGGUUGGGAGAGUGACCCAGGAAGAGUUCCCAGCCAGCUGGCCUGGCCACGUUGUCCUGUCUUCAGACCAUCUCAGUGAGUUUAGAAUGCCACUUGGCCUGCUCCCUCCAUCAUCAGGGGUUAGUGCUCCCCAAAAUGCAGAGGGAACAUUGGACAUUCACUGAGCACCCAGCCUGUGCCAGGCCUGUGCACACCUACCCUGGCUUAGCACUGCACCAAGUGCACGGGUGGGGCUCAACCCAUUUUACAGAUGAAAACCCAUUUAUGGUCUGCCGCCCCAAGAGGGGAAAAAGUGCAAGGUGACACAGCCAGAAAGCCGCAGAGCCAGGGUCUGAACAGGCCAGCACGAGGCCGUCCUGGCACCAAAUGCCUCCAUUUAGGGACUGACCGCCCACCAAGAAUAACGUCUGCUACAUGGGGCUCUCUCUCCUCGUACUACCUCGGACAUCCUCACCACAGCCGUACAAGACAGACAGCCACCCCACUGUACGGAUGAGGAAACUGAGGCACAGGGAGAUUAAACUACAGAAUUUUCUAGGAUGACACAGGCUCUCAAAGUCCUGCCUGGCUCGAGGCCUGUGUUCCUUCUGCUGCAUCAGGCCAUGUGCCGAGGGCA
rnacentral:lncRNA from 1 species